rnacentral:rRNA from 1 species
UACGGAGGAUGCGAGCGUUAUCCGGAUUUAUUGGGUUUAAAGGGUGCGUAGGCGGACGCUUAAGUCAGCGGUAAAAUUGCGGGGCUCAACCUCGUCGAGCCGUUGAAACUGGGUGCCUUGAGUGGGCGAGAAGUACGCGGAAUGCGUGGUGUAGCGGUGAAAGGCAUAGAUAUCACGCAGAACUCCGAUUGCGAAGGCAGCGUACCGGCGCCCUACUGACGCUGAAGCACGAAGGCGUGGGUAUCGAACAGG